rnacentral:rRNA from 1 species
AUUGAACGCUGGCGGCAUGCUUUACACAUGCAAGUCGAACGGCAGCGCGGGCUUCGGCCUGGCGGCGAGUGGCGAACGGGUGAGUAAUACAUCGGAACGUGCCCAGUAGUGGGGGAUAGCUCGGCGAAAGCCGGAUUAAUACCGCAUACGACCUGAGGGUGAAAGCGGGGGAUCUUCGGACCUCGCGCUAUUGGAGCGGCCGAUGGCAGAUUAGCUAGUUGGUGGGGUAAAGGCCUACCAAGGCGACGAUCUGUAGCUGGUCUGAGAGGACGACCAGCCACACUGGGACUGAGACACGGCCCAGACUCCUACGGGAGGCAGCAGUGGGGAAUUUUGGACAAUGGGCGAAAGCCUGAUCCAGCAAUGCCGCGUGUGUGAUGAAGGCCUUUGGGUUGUAAAGCACUUUUGGCGGGAACGAAAAGGACUGUGCCAAUACCACGGUUCGAUGACGGUACCCGCAGAAUAAGCACCGGCUAACUACGUG